rnacentral:tRNA from 1 species
GGAGAGAUGGCAGAGUGGUCGAUUGCGGCAGUCUUGAAAACUGCAGACGGUGCUGAGCCGUCCGUGGGUUCGAAUCCCACUCUCUCCU